rnacentral:rRNA from 1 species
CCUACGGGUGGCAGCAGUGGGGAAUAUUGCACAAUGGGGGAAACCCUGAUGCAGCGACGCCGCGUGAGUGAUGAAGUAUUUCGGUAUGUAAAGCUCUAUCAGCAGGGGAGAUAAUGACGGUACCUGAGUAAGAAGCCCCGGCUAAAUACGUGCCAGCAGCCGCGGUAAUACGUAGGGAGCAAGGGUUAUACGGAUUUACUGGGUGUAAAGGGGGCGUAGAGGGCAGGGCAAGUCUGUUGUGAAAGUCCGGGGCUCAACCCCAGAACUGCAUUGGAAACUGUCCGGCUAGAGUACAGGAGAGGUAAGUGGAAUUCGUAGUGUAGCGGUGAAAUGCGUAGAUAUUAGGAGGAACACCAGUGGCGAAGGCGGCUUACUGGACUGUAACUGACGUUGAGGCUCGAAAGCGUGGGGAGCAAACAGGAUUAGAUACCCCUGUAGUC